CCUACGGGUGGCAGCAGUGGGGAAUAUUGGACAAUGGGGGAAACCCUUAUCCAGCGACGCCGCGUGAGGGAAGAAGGUUUUCGGAUUGUAAACCUCUGUCAGUGGGGACGAUAAUGACGGUACCCACGGAGGAAGCCACGGCUAACUACGUGCCAGCAGCCGCGGUAAUACGUAGGUGGCAAGCGUUAUCCGGAUUUACUGGGUGUAAAGGGAGCGUAGACGGUGAGACAAGUCUGAAGUGAAAGCCCGGGGCUCAACCCCGGGACUGCUUUGGAAACUGCCUGACUGGAGUGCUGGAGAGGCAAGCGGAAUUCCUAGUGUAGCGGUGAAAUGCGUAGAUAUUAGGAAGAACACCAGUGGCGAAGGCGGCUUGCUGGACAGUAACUGACGUUGAGGCUCGAAAGCGUGGGGAGCAAACAGGAUUAGAUACCCUGGUAGUC
rnacentral:rRNA from 1 species